CAGCGCAAGGAAAUCCGCGUUUGUCCGUAGCUGCGUUCCGUAGUUACCGGUUAUUGGAGGUCAGCCGCCUCUGGCGUGAGCUUGAAAUGUGAACCCAGAAAUGUCAUGAAGUGAAUCUGAAGAAAGCAAGCAGUGCCUUCAUAUCCGCGGAAACGCUUUUUCUCAAUGGCAUGAAUGUCCUCUAUGUGUUAAACUGGAGCGAACAUAAGUUUCACACAGACUGAGACAGAAGUUGGUCCGUCCGUGUUGCCCUACAGAGGCCUGCGCUGUUACAUAUAGCAGCAGGAUCAAUGAUCUGCGACAAAGGGCUUGCUCGUUUUUUAUUUUGAUCACGUUAAAGUUGCAACGAUGAGAAAGGACGUGAGGAUAUUACUAGUCGGAGAACCCAAAGUGGGGAAGACCUCCCUGAUCAUGUCACUUGUCAGUGAGGAAUUCCCUGAUGAGGUUCCUCUUAGAGCUGAAGAGAUCACUAUUCCUGCUGAUGUCACACCUGAGAGAGUUCCUACUCAUAUAGUGGACUACUCAGAAGCAGAACAGUCAGAUGAGCAGCUUUACCAAGAGAUAUCAAAGGCUAAUGUUAUAUGCAUCGUAUAUUCAGUAAACAACAAGAAAUCAAUCGAAAAGGUGACAAGUCAUUGGAUUCCCCUCAUCAAUGAAAGAACAGAUAAGGACAGCAGAGUACCAUUGAUCCUGGUGGGGAAUAAAUCUGACCUAGUGGAGCACAGCAGCAUGGAGACCAUCCUGCCCAUCAUGAACCAGUACUCUGAGAUUGAGACCUGCGUGGAGUGUUCAGCCAAAAACCUGAAAAAUAUCUCAGAGUUGUUCUACUACGCCCAGAAGGCUGUUCUGCACCCAACAGGACCUUUGUACUCUCCAGAAGAGAAAGAGAUGAAGCCAUCUUGCAUCAAAGCACUUACUCGCAUUUUCAAAAUAUCAGACCUUGACAACGAUGGCAUUCUGAACGAUAAUGAGCUUAAUUUCUUCCAGAGAACUUGUUUUAACAUACCCCUGGCACCUCAAGCCCUGGAGGACGUGAAGAAUGUUGUGCGGAAAAAUAUGUCAGACGGGGUGAAAGACAACGGCCUCACACUGAAGGGUUUCCUGUUCCUUCAUACACUCUUCAUUCAGAGGGGAAGGCACGAGACCACUUGGACUGUGCUCAGGAGGUUUGGUUAUGAUGAUGAUCUGGAGCUGACACAAGAAUAUCUGUUUCCACUGUUAAAAAUACCCCCAGACUGUACCACAGAGCUGAACCACAACGCCUACCUCUUCCUCCAGAGCGUCUUUGACAAGCAUGACAAGGAUCGAGACUGUGCUCUGUCUCCAGAUGAGCUGAAGGAUUUGUUCAAGGUCUUUCCCUACAUGCCCUGGGGUCCUGAUGUCAACAACACAGUCUGCACCAAUGAGCAGGGCUGGAUCACUUACCAAGGCUACCUUUCCCAGUGGACGCUAACAACAUACCUAGAUGUGCAGCGAUGUUUGGAGUACCUGGGUUAUCUUGGUUACUCUAUUAUCCAAGAGCAGGAGUCUCAGGCCGCCGCUAUAACAGUCACCAGAAAUAAGCGCAUCGAUCUGCAGAAGAAACAGACCCAGCGCAGUGUUUUCCGCUGCAAUGUUCUAGGAGCUCGUGGCAGCGGUAAAAGUGGCUUUCUGCAGGGUUUCCUGGGCAGGAACCUUGUGCGUCAGAAGAAAAUAAGGGAAGACCACAAGUCUUACUAUGCCAUUAGCACCACUUAUGUUUAUGGACAAGAGAAAUAUCUUCUCCUGCACGAGGUGCUGCCGGACUUUGAGUUCCUGUCUGAGGCUGAUCUGGCUUGUGAUGUUGUUUGCCUGGUGUAUGACAUCAGCAACCCGUGCUCCUUUGAGUACUGCGCUAAAGUCUACAAGAAACACUAUAUGGACAGCAAGACACCCUGUGUGAUUAUUGCUGCCAAGUCAGACCUGCAUGAAGCACGUCAAUACUACAGCCUGUCUCCGUUGGAUUUCUGCCGGAAACACAAGCUUCACCCGCCACAGCUGUUCACCUGCAACACAGACGAAGCACCCAGCAAAGACAUCUACACCAAACUCACCACCAUGGCUAUGUAUCCCCACGCCAAGUUACGCUGCAUGUGCAGCUGCAACAGGUGUACCUUUUGCAUCUGUCACAACCUCCUGAACUCUGAGCUGGUGCGCUCGGUAAAGGCCAAACUCUACAGCACAGUUCUGAACAGGUGUUCCUUUUCAUUUGUUUGGCUGGCCCUUUUCGUCUUUAUUUUGCAUCUCUUAACAUCAUGUUAGCCGUCCCUAAUGGGACGUCUGUCCCUCUCUCUAACCAUGUCAUGUUUCUGAGCUCUAGUUAAAGCUUCCUCAAGGACUAACUGUUCAUAUGCAGUGAAUUGAAAACUAAGAAGGCUUAGUUUGUGUUGCAUUGUGUCUGUAUUAGAAUGGCUAACAUGUCUAACCUGUUGCUGCUAAUAUAGUGUUUCAUCUAAAACAAGCUUCUCUUGCCAUUUAUUGUUUGGUGCUUUGACGGAUAGUAUUUUUUAAAAUAUAUAUAUAUAUUGUUGUUCUUGUCUGUCGUUUAGUUAGUGUUUUAUAACCAGUCUUUUAUUUAAGAUGUGUAUGGACUUUAUAUUCAGGUUGAUUGGUUGUCCAUACCUCAGCACUCAGUAGAUAGCAGAAUUAAAUUUUAUAGAAAGACUUGAUUAAAAAAAAUUACCACACACACAGGGGUUGGACAAUGGAACUGAAACACUGGUUAAUAUAGUGUUGGAGGUUUCACACCUAUAUAUGCGCGGUCUGGUGGCCAAUCUUCUCUGAUUUUACAUUCCAUCAGUAAGAUCAGAGUGUGAAGGUUGAAUUAUCAGCAAUAGCACUGCUGUACAUAAAAUAUUGCAAUCCACACAACAUAAUGGAAGACAUAACAAGAGUUAAAAAGAGGACAAAUUGUUGGUGUGUGUCUCGCUGGCUCAUCUGUGACCAGGACAGCAAGUCUUUGUGGUGUAUAGAGACUCGAGCUAUGGUGUUCAGGGUAAUGUCGGCUUAACACCACAUUGGACGACCUGCAUCAGACAGGAGUAACUGUUGAUGCAAAGGGAUGUCCAGGUAUUAACCCAGAUUGUAUCCAGAGAACAUAAAACCACAGCCGCCCAACUCACUGCAGAAUUAAAUGCACCCCUCUACUCUCCUGUUUCCACCAAAACUGUUCGUAGACUCGAGAGUCAACAUUCAUGGUCGGGCUGCUAUAUAUGAUCACUCGUGCCAGUGCCAAAAUGUUGCUUUCCAUGGUGCCAACAGUGCAAAUCUUGGGCUGUGGACAAUUUGAAACAUGUAUUGUUCUCUGAUGAGUCCAUCUUCACUGUCUUUCCCACAUCCGUGGAAGUUACGGUGUGGAGAAGCCCCAAAGAGGCUCAACGCCCGACUUUUGCUGCCCUGAAUGAAGUACAGAAAAGAAUCAGUGAUGAUUUCAACUGGAAUAUCAUUUUGGAGGAGCAAGUCAGAAAACGUUCUCCUCCACCAGUAUCACAUAGUGACCUGGCCACUGUUCUUCUGGAAGAGGAAUGGCUCAAAAUCCCUCUGGCCACUGUGAAGGACUUGUAUCUCUCAUUCCCAAGAUGAACUGAUGCUGUAUUAGGUGCAUAAGAAGGCCCUACACCAUACCAAUCAACUAUUGUGAUAUAAAACCAGGUUUAUCAGUUUCAUUGUCCUACCCCUGUGUGUAUGUGUGUAUAUGUGUAUAUAUACACAAAAUGUAUAAUAAUUAAGGCCACAUCCACACGAUGCCAGAGCUUUCCCUAUCCGAUCCUCUUUUUUCCCCCCUUGUCUCAAGAAAUAUCUGCGUACACACGAAACCACUGAAACGGACUCAAAACGAUGUAGUAUGUGGCGCUGUAAUUCUGCCACAGGAAUACACUAAAAACGGAGAAUAAGACUUGGAGCAUGAGCAUAAACUUUGCGCACUGUAUACAAACUUUAGUAAAGCUUGGUAAUAAAGCCUUACUUUAUUAAAGCUAAUAGGCUAGGUAGCUUCUGCAGUACGAACACAAGCAUGUAGUCCGCUGCUGUUGUUGUUGUUGCUGUUAUGUGACGUAGUGAUGUCUGACUAGAGUCGAGAUCGUUUUACAAAAUAUACAGAUUGGCUGUACACAUGAAAACGCAUAGUGUCGUUUUCAGAUUUAUCCACUCCCAAAAUGCCAUAUUUGUCUGGACAAAACGCAGACACGAUACAAAAUUUUUACGUAUACAGCUAAACGCGUCUCCGUGUGGACGGGCUCUAAAUUUAUAAAAAAUUACAUUUACAGUGUCAUACAUUGGCAAGCUUUAAAAACACACAAACUUUUGUUAAUUUUGUUAAAAUGGACAAAAGCAUUCAGAAUUCACAAUAUGUUUUAGUGACAAAGCUGCUGUUUCUCAGUAAUAACUACAGAGGUGUGUAAGAGUGUUGUAUGUUUACAGCAUGCGGUGAGCAGUGGGGUAUGUUGGGGUGGUCCUGUCGGGUGUGCGGUUGUUGAUCUGCCAUGCUGUGUGCAUGUGUGUAUAAGGUUGAGAUCUUUUAUACAAGAUGUGGGCAUGUUUCUGUUGGCUGACGAGGAGUCCGGCCUCACCCAUCAGGUUCAUGCAGUCAGCUUUGUAGAGGACUCUGUCUACAUGGAGUCGUCUGUCGACCCGUUUGUGCCCGUUUGUAACAGACACAUGACCCAAGCUGACCUGAAAAACUCUACUUUUUGGCUGAGAGCGAGUGUUGGUGCCACCGUGUUUGCAGUUCUUGGCUUUGCCAUGUACAAAGCUCUCCUCAAGCAGCGGUGAUCAGUGCAUCCGGCAUGUUACAGCAACCCAGGCCC